AAUGAACGCUGGCGGCGCGCCUAAUACAUGCAAGUCGAGCGAGAAGACGUAGCAAUACGUUUGUAAAGCGGCGAACGGGUGAGGAAUACAUGGGUAACCUACCCUCGAGUGGGGAAUAACUAGCCGAAAGGUUAGCUAAUACCGCGUACGCUUCUUGGACUUCGGUUCAGGGAGGAAAGCGAUACCGUGGGUAUCGCGCUCUUGGAUGGGCGUCAUGUCCUAUCAGCUUGUUGGUGAGGUAACGGCUCACCAAGGCUUCGACGGGUAGCUGGUCUGAGAGGACGAUCAGCCACACUGGCACUGCGACACGGGCCAGACUCCUACGGGAGGCAGCAGUAAGGAAUAUUGCGCAAUGGGCGAAAGCCUGACGCAGCGACGCCGCGUGGGGGA
rnacentral:rRNA from 1 species